GUAUAGAGUUACUCAUAAUCUUCUAUGGCACUUGUAUUCUUGAAGGAUAUAAAGUAUUUCUACUUACAUGGAGAAAUUACCACAUCAGCUUUUGGUAGCAGAAAUGGGGCUGCCAGACUCAAGUUACUAAUGAUGCCUCUAAGGAAAGGGGAACUUUACUGUCCUCAAGUUGCACUAAUGUGCUUUAAAUUCAAAGCAACACUAGUCGCUUCCUUUUUUCUACUCCGGACAGAUCUAGAGUGUGGAUUCCCCACAUUGGUUGGUCUCUUUACCAUGGAUAUUGGUGUGGCCCACUCUCUCUUAGUGCUCUUUUUCUUUACAUUUAUAUCACGUUGGUUUCCUGUCUGCUUCUGAUUUUCUGUAGCACAAGGGUGGUAAAGUCCUACCCCUGAUAAAUGGUGGGUUUAUGAAUCUCGAGAAUUUAAAGCUCGGUGUAAGUUUGUUCCCAGUAUGCUUUCUUAUCUCUCUCCCCAUCUCCUUUCUCCCUGC
rnacentral:lncRNA from 1 species